AUUGAACGCUGGCGGCAGGCUUAACACAUGCAAGUCGAGCGGGGUGAUGGUGCUUGCACUAUCACUUAGCGGCGGACGGGUGAGUAAUGCUUAGGAAUCUACCUAUUAGUGGGGGACAACAUCUCGAAAGGGAUGCUAAUACCGCAUACGUCCUACGGGAGAAAGCAGGGGAUCACUUGUGACCUUGUGCUAAUAGAUGAGCCUAAGUCGGAUUAGCUAGUUGGUGGGGUAAAGGCCUACCAAGGCGACGAUCUGUAGCGGGUCUGAGAGGAUGAUCCGCCACACUGGGACUGAGACACGGCCCAGACUCCUACGGGAGGCAGCAGUGGGGAAUAUUGGACAAUGGGGGGAACCCUGAUCCAGCCAUGCCGCGUGUGUGAAGAAGGCCUUAUGGUUGUAAAGCACUUUAAGCGAGGAGGAGGCUUACCUAGUUAAUACCUGGGAUAAGUGGACGUUACUCGCAGAAUAAGCACCGGCUAACUCUGUGCCAGCAGCCGCAGUAAGAC
rnacentral:rRNA from 1 species